UUUUCAAUGAUACCAAGUCCCGGCUUAGCACUUCUUCAGCUAAAAUCAACAGGCUAGGUUUGGAACCCUUGUCG
rnacentral:tRNA from 1 species